UAAGAAAUUAAGUAAAUGACUAAUGAGCACAAUUACUUCUUUCCAAAACCAUCGGCUACUCUUUCUCUCUCUAUUGUAUGUUCUCAGAACGGAGUAUUCUCAAAACUCCAUCUCUCUCCCUCUCGGCCCCUCUCCCUUCUCGAAACCCGAUCUUCCCCGAAGCAGCCCCAAAUUCCCAGUCAGAGAAGGAGGAUUCAACGUGAAGGGUGAAGAGAAGGGCUCUGAUGGCGGAAGGAAGAAUUUAGAGUCUUGGGCUCAAAAGGAAUUGGGAUUGGGCUAGGGAUAUUAUUUGAAUAAGUAAUUAGUUUGGGCUCAAGACCCUGUUAAAAUUUUAUUUAAAAAGUGUAGCCCACAAUUUAUUCUUUAUUAGAUUGGACUUGUAUCAAUUAUUUAAUUCAUCAGAUGUGUUGGAAUUUAGUCUAAUAAAUAAUCCUCAAGGAAAGGAUUUAAUUAAA